UACGUAGGGGGCAAGCGUUGUCCGGAUUUAUUGGGCGUAAAGAGCGUGUAGGCGGCCAAGCAGGUCCGCUGUGAAAACUCGAGGCUCAACCUCGAGACGUCGGUUGAAACCGUCUGGCUAGAGUCCGGAAGAGGAGAGUGGAAUUCCCGGUGUAGCGGUGAAAUGCGCAGAUAUCGGGAAGAACACCCGUGGCGAAGGCGGCUCUCUGGGACGGUACUGACGCUGAGACACGAAAGCGUGGGUAGCAAACAGG
rnacentral:rRNA from 1 species